GACGAACGCUGGCGGCGUGCUUAACACAUGCAAGUCGAGCGGUAAGGCCCUUUCGGGGGUACACGAGCGGCGAACGGGUGAGUAACACGUGGGUGACCUGCCCUCAGCUCUGGGAUAAGCCUGGGAAACCGGGUCUAAUACUGGAUAUGACUCCAUGACGCAUGUUGUGGGGUGGAAAGCCUUGUGCGGCUGAGGAUGGGCCCGCGGCCUAUCAGCUUGUUGGUGGGGUGANGGCCUACCAAGGCGACGACGGGUAGCCGGCCUGAGAGGGCGACCGGCCACACUGGGACUGAGACACGGCCCAGACUCCUACGGGAGGCAGCAGUGGGGAAUCUUGCGCAAUGGGCGAAAGCCUGACGCAGCGACGCCGC
rnacentral:rRNA from 1 species